rnacentral:rRNA from 1 species
GAUGAACGCUGGCGGCGUGCCUAAUACAUGCCAGUCGAGCGAACGGACGAGAAGCUUGCUUCUCUGAUGUUAGCGGCGGACGGGUGAGUAACACGUGGAUAACCUACCUAUAAGACUGGGAUAACUUCGGGAAACCGGAGCUAAUACCGGAUGAUAUUUUGAACCGCAUGGUUCAAAAGUGAAAGACGGUCUUGCUGUCACUUAUAGAUGGAUCCGCGCUGCAUUAGCUAGUUGGUAAGGUAACGGCUUACCAAGGCAACGAUGCAUAGCCGACCUGAGAGGGUGAUCGGCCACACUGGAACUGAGACACGGUCCAGACUCCUACGGGAGGCAGCAGUAGGGAAUCUGCCGCAAUGGGCGAAAGCCUGACGGAGCAACGCCGCGUGAGUGAUGAAGGUCUUCGGAUCGUAAAACUCUGUUAUUAGGGAAGAACAUAUGUGUAAGUAACUGUGCACAUCUUGACGGUACCUAAUCAGAAAGCCACGGCUAACUACGUG